AUUGAACGCUAGCGGGAUGCCUUACACAUGCAAGUCGAACGGAGUGGCGAACGGGUGAGUAAUGUAUCGGAACGUGCCCAGUAGCGGGGGAUAACUACGCGAAAGCGUAGCUAAUACCGCAUACUAUUGGAGCGGCCGAUAUCGGAUUAGCUAGUUGGUGGGGUAACGGCUCACCAAGGCGACGAUCCGUAGCUGGUUUGAGAGGACGACCAGCCACACUGGGACUGAGACACGGCCCAGACUCCUACGGGAGGCAGCAGUGGGGAAUUUUGGACAAUGGGGGAAACCCUGAUCCAGCCAUCCCGCGUGUGCGAUGAAGGCCUUCGGGUUGUAAAGCACUUUUGUCAGGGAAGCGGUACCUGAAGAAUAAGCACCGGCUAACUACGUGCCAGCAGCCGCGGUAAUUC
rnacentral:rRNA from 1 species